GAUGAACGCUGGCGGCGUGCCUAAUACAUGCAAGUCGAGCGAACGGACGAGAAGCUUGCUUCUCUGAUGUUAGCGGCGGACGGGUGAGUAACACGUGGAUAACCUACCUAUAAGACUGGGAUAACUUCGGGAAACCGUAGCUAAUACCGGAUAAUAUUUUGAACCGCAUGGUUCAAAAGUGAAAGACGGUCUUGCCGUCACUUAUAGAUGGAUCCGCGCUGCAUUAGCUAGUUGGUAAGGUAACGGCUUACCAAGGCAACGAUGCAUAGCCGACCUGAGAGGGUGAUCGGCCACACUGGAACUGAGACACGGUCCAGACUCCUACGGGAGGCAGCAGUAGGGAAUCUUCCGCAAUGGGCGAAAGCCUGACGGAGCAACGCCGCGUGAGUGAUGAAGGUCUUCGGAUCGUAAAACUCUGUCAUUAGGGAAGAACAUAUGUGUAAGUAACUGUGCACAUCUUGACGGUACCUAAUCAGAAAGCCACGGCUAACUACGUG
rnacentral:rRNA from 1 species